rnacentral:lncRNA from 1 species
ACUGGGGCUAAUGACGCCAGUAGGUUGCUAAACCAGCAGUUUCCAAUUUUCUCUCCGAACAAAGGAAUGUCUAUCCCUUGGAGAUGCCCUUGAGAUUUAGUGGAAGUCAAUGUCAGAUGUUCUCAGAUCCAGCAAGAUGGACUAGGUUCUGGGAAGGUGAGCUUUUAGGGUCUUGCCUCUGAGAUUUUGAUUUGAACUCGGGGCUAGUCCAGUGGUACAUCAUGAAGUGCAGGGGGCUUAUUUUCGGUUUUAUGUCUUUCUCUUCCAGAAGAUACCUCUGUGUAUAUAAAUGUGUCUUUAUUUCUCUGUGGUGCUUUCUGUUCUUGCCUCCCUUCCUCCUCAGCCUCUCAUGCACCCGCCCCCCACAACAUACGCACAUCACAGAGGAUAUUUUAUACAAUAUAUUUAAAGACUUCAACUAAUUAAUGUUUAGGUUCUCAGUAGAGUUUGUAAGUCAAGCAGCUUAUUUUCUGAACUGGAGACUCCUAGGGUAAACUACUCUUACUGGCAUGUUUUCAUCAGUUGAGAAUACAAAUGAGAUCAGGCGCCUUUUUCUAGUGUGUUGACUCGAUGUGGAAGACAACUGCUUACAGUUCUUGCUGCCUCAAGUGUUUUUUGUAGGCUGUCUUUGCUGGCAAUUCAGUAUUGAACCCUAAGUGUCUGAUGUCUCCAUCUGUGAUUGUCCUUUGAUCUGAACACCCAAGAGGCAAUAGUAACAGACAGACCAAGGUUCACAAGAAUCCCAUUUGCUCUUUACCUGCAACUUUCUAGCCAAUGUCAGGAGGAAGAGGAGGAGAAAGUCCUAACUGUCUGCUGUAGUGAGCGAAACGUGCUGGUGAUCAAGGGCAAGUAUGUUAUAGGCAGCUGUCUAGAAAGUGAUUUGAGAAGCACAAAACAUCCCUGGACUCCAGGUGUUUAUCCAUGGCCAAUAUAGGAUCAGAAAUUCUCACCAUUAGAGAUACUCAUUUUGUAUAAAGUGAUUCUAUCUAGUAGAUCCUUAAUAGAAGGCAAUGAUGCUGCCUAGGAAAUUGCUACCAUUCAUUCUCACAAACCAUUAGCAUCUGUUCAUUUUUUAACUUGAAUUGGUUUAUCAGAUCAACUGGCAGAUAGAAAAGCCCCAAGGGCCUGGAACACAGGAAGAUGCAGAGGAAGUGAAAGAAGUUUGAAACUGGGUUACUGUCCAGUUUGUGUCCCCAGAGGGGCCCUUCUGGUGGGGAAGUGCCUGGGAACUAGGCUACUUGAAGCAGUCUCACUCUACUCUGUCUGGGUAGAGUGCAGCCAGACAGAGGUCAAGGUAAACUGCCACCCUGACAUUUUACUUCUGGGGCAGCAAAGUUAACACAAGUUUGAUCUUUCUUGAAAAUUUAGCCUAUUUAAAUCUUCUGAGAAAUGGGUGAAUUAUGCCCCCUACUGUGAAAUGAUAUCCUUCAAAUCUUGAAUGGCUUCUCCUGUAUCAUUUUGGAAUAGUCUUACCAUUAACCAGUAAAUAUUCACACUUUCCAGCUAGUGUGAUGCUCAUUCAGACAAAUGUUUUUUUUUUUUUUUUUUUUUUUUUUUUGCCUGUGUAAUCAACAUAGAAACAUCAAUGUAAAUAUUCAACUCCACCUUAAUUUUUCAGAAAAGAGAAAAAGUUAUCACUCUGGCAAUGUCAUUUCAUGUGAAGUCAGACUAAUUAGAAAUUUCCUGGUUGAAUCCCGUGUGAAAUGAAGUCAAGAAGACAAGAGGGUGAUUCAGCAAGUUACUUGGGCUUUUCAGAGAAUGCAGAUGAUGAAGAGGAGUUUCUUGACAUUUAUUUAACACCCAUUAUGUUCCAGACAUCAAUUGAAGUACUCUGCACAUGUUGUCUCUUUUGAUGCUCAGAAGUGCCCUUGCAAGGAAGCAUCUUGGUCCCAGUUUAAAGAUGAAGUCUAGGGCUUAAAUAACUUGUUUAAGAGGGAAUAGGUGAUGGCACCAGUUUUUGAGGCUAUUCCAAAGCUAUGCUCUUGGCACUGUGUUCCUGGUUCUUAGGGAGGCCAUGGUCUAGAACACUAAAAUACUGGGCUGAGUGGGGUGGCUGCAACUGAGCCCAAUGCUGUGGAGUUGAAAAGGAGAAGAGAACACUGGAAAAGGGUUCAUGGAGAAGACAGCAUUUUAGUUUGUUCUCAAAGAGUGAAAAGCACUUUGAAAAUAAAUGAAGCCUCCCUAUUUAUUGUAACCAACUAAGGACCAUCCUGGAGCAAGGUUAGGGCCAUUUCCUUCAGACCAGCUGUGGGUCCCAGUCAGGAUCAUGCCACUGGAACUGUGGAUCUGGAACAUGAUAGCAUAAGCCAUUGUGCAUGUGUGUUUCACACAGGAAAGCAAAAAGAUGAUGAAGUUCCAGCACACCUUGAAGGAGAGAAGCUGUAUCAGUCGGGAAGGUGAGGCAAAGAGUAGACCAUCUGCCCACCCAUUCCUGCCUUAAAUUUGAUGGUUAUGUCUUCUAUACCAACACAGGCGGUUUUUCUUUCAUUCUGUAUCAUCGAAUGGCUCUCAUGCUUUCUCCUUUGAGCUUCUCCAGUUCCUCACUUCUGCUUCCCCCUCAAUCAUAGGACCCAGAGCCUCCUUUAGCUCUGCUCUGAUCCAUAUAUAGCAUCCAGUCCUAGCAUCAGGUCUAGAGAAUCGGUCUGCUUACUCUGCGUGCCAACCCCAGCUUCCUCUGUGCACCAUAGUACAGCUCCCAAAGUGAGUGGCAUCAGCCAGGGGCUAAAGGAUAGAGUUUGGAGAGAUGCUCAGUCAUCUGUCAGAUGCCCCUCAGCAGUUGCAGGUCACUCUUUUAAAAACAUCUACCUUUCAAAUGUUGGGGGAUGUGAGCCCCCUAGAGCUGAAAUUUGUGACUUGGUGUUGGGCACAGUUAAUGCCUCUGUUCUGCUGUCUCCUCACUGUCUUUCUUCUCCUGGCUGUGCAGCUGUCCAUGGCCCCUUUUCAGAACUUCUUAGCUGUGCUCUUUCUGCUUAGAACCCUAGCUAUCUCUGGAAAACAUAUCAGAGAUCAUCUAGUUUUUUUUUUUUUUAAGCAAAUUAGCACAUGGAGGCAAUAUGAAAUUAAAUGACUUUAUACUAGUGAAGUGGGACAUUGUUGAAUCCAGGUCUAUUACUUUGAAGUCAUUUCAGCAAAAGUUACCUCACCCUUUUUCCUUUGAUAAUAUAGAAAUCCUCUUGAAAUGUGCCUGUGUUUUCUGGCCACAUGAGUCGCUGGAUGUCUAGCAAUGAUUUCCUAAGGCGGAAAGAGAAUUAUGACUUUUGCUUCUAGAUUGAGGAUGUUGAGGAAUACAAUGAAGGCCCCUACUAUACUCAGAUUAGAAUUCUCUAAAGUCAGCAAGCAUGUCAUGUUAGUGAUGAUAGAUAUUUGUUAGAGUCCAACAAAUGGUAUAUUUAACAUUGUGCGAGAACCUUAGCUUCUCCGUGCCUUCUUUUCUUCAUCUAUUAAAUGGGGAAAGUAAUAGUAAAGAGCCUUAUGAGGUUAUUGAAGAAUAGUACAUUAAUAUUGGUAAAACACUUGGAACUUUAUUGAGUGCUCAAUAAGGUCUGGCCCUUACUGCUUGAGAGAUGGCCAGUGAGAGAGUGCCAUUUCUGCCUAUGGACAUGCUCACUGGCAGAUCACCAUGGAGAGCUGGAAGAUAAGGACAUGCAUAAUGACAUAUACCAAAGGUCACAAAACUGUUUUUUAAAGGACCGCAUAGUAAAGAUUUGGGGCUUUAGGGACCACAGGUCUGUCACAAUUACUCAACACUGCAGUUGGAGCAUGAAAGCCGCCCUUGACAAUCCUUAAAUGAAUGAACAUGCUGUGGUCCAUCAAACAUUAUUUACUGACACUGAAAUUUGAAUAUUUAAUUUUCACAUGUGGUGACAUACUCUUUUUGAAAUUUUUUCAAUUAUUUUAAAUGUAUUAAAGAUUAAAUAGGCAUUGUAAAAACAGUGGUGGGCUCUUUGACCUCUUAGCCAUGUGUUUGCCCCUCUAAGACACAGACAGUUAGAUACAUAGGCCAUCAUAGGGGGGCUGCAGGAACCCUGGCAAUUGGAGUUGGUAUCCUGGGAAGAGAGCUGGCCUAGAAACUCAGAGACCUUGUUUUAGAGCCAAGCUCUAUCACUUCUGGGAUGUGUGGCUUUGGAAAAAUUUUUUAAGUUAUCAUGGCCUGAGUUUUCAUGUGGGAAAAAGGCAAAGUUAGAUGACUUUUAGAGACCUUCUGAGCAUUAAAAGCGUGAGAAAAGAGAACAGGGUGUAUAGUCAGGUAAUUUUUAUUGAAUAAUUUAGUUGUCUACUAGGAAUAGUAAACCUGGAAAGGUAGACAGGUGAUGUAUUAGGCAUGAUGACCUUGAAUGGCAAAGUGAGGGAUUAGAAUAUCAUAGAUUGAGAUUGUCAGCAGAAUUCCUCAAUUUUACAGAUCGAGGUGAGAAAGGGGAAAAGACUUGUCCAAGGCCACAUGACUGGCUAGUGGAACCCGAGACCAACACUCAUUUCUUUUGAUCCUUGGACCAACAACCCUUCUGGGUACCGCAUUGCUCCAAGCAGCAUGGUAGAAUGCAGUUAACUUCACUUGUAUGACUGACCUCACAGGGGAUGAUUCUCAUAAAUUACAGAAGCUGUUUUUAGUAUUUUCCAAACAUGAUUUCAUACCCCAACAUAUCUAAGAAGAUAGAUCUGUGAGUAAUCCCAUUAUAGAGAAGGGCGAUUGCAAAAGAGUCAACCUAAGGCCUUGCACUCCAGCAGUCUUUGGCCUGGCUUCCUGCUGAGUGUCUUUUAAAAAAUUUCAGCUCAGAUGUUAUUUCGUCAGCAAACCCUUCCCUAAUACCCUAGGAGGUUAGGUCCUCUAUUACUUACUCUUACAGGACUGUGCUUUGCCUUCAUAGCAUCUCUCAGUUAAUAAAUGCUUCUUUCUGUCACAGUUUGAAGAAACAUUUCUUUUUGUAACAAUUUAAAUUCACAUCUGUCAUCUGUCUUCCCAGCUAGAUAAUAAAUUUCAGGGAGAGAGAGAUCAUGUCUGUUUAGUUCAUGGUUCUAGCCCCAGUACCUUGCACUUUGCCAGAUACAUAAUAGACAUUUAGUGUUUGCCUUACCUGGUAGAGAAGCUAGCUGUAUGUUUCAUAAACUGAACUCAGAGAUCUCUAUAAAAUUCCAUAUUUUCCAGAGUUCCCGUCGUGGCGCAGUGGUUAACGAAUUCGACUAGGAACCAUAAGGUUGCGGGUUCGGUCCCUGCCCUUGCUCAGUGGGUUAACGAUCCGGCGUUGCCGUGAGCUGUGGUGUAGGUUGCAGAUGUGGCUCGGAUCCCACGUUGCUGUGGCUCUGGUGUAGGCCGGUGGCUACAGCUCCAAUUGGACCCCUAGCCUGGGAAUCUCCAUAUGCCGCAGGAGCGGUCCAAGAAAUAGC